GGCUCUUGGCCAUUGUCCCUGUUUCUCUCCGCAGUGUGCAGUAGAGUUUUCCAAAGACCGUAAGACAGGCGGUGCAGCAACAGACUGCAGAAGCAGGAUAGCUGGCUCUAGGUCAAAUAUCAGAAUUCGAAUAUCAGCCGUGCCUUUAGCAAAUGGACAAGCUUGGGCAGAGACCUCACUACCUUACCCAGUUUCCCCAAACCUCAAGGACCGUGUCCGUUACAAAUGGAUCUUAGCAGCACUACCUCGGUAGGCAUGUUGAACGUUUUCUUAAGGAAUCUCUGUACCCCAUGUGGGGCUUGAACUCAUGACCCCGAGAUCAAGAGUCCUGUGCUCUACCAGGCGCUGACCCAGAGGACAUCAGACACAGCCAUGGAAUGCUGAUGUGCCCCUGAAGCUAGAAAGCAGGGAGCAGAGACUGAGUUCCCUUCCUGGUGAAAGCAUGAGCUCCAGGGUGGACAAAGCCAGUGCCUUCACCUCUCUGCUCCCCAGAUUCUCUUCCUCAAGCCCACUGGCAUCCAGAGUGGGGUUCGUGAUGUGAGAGAACUUAGAGGUUCCCUCCGGAUGAGCAAAAAAGGGAAGCUGGGUUAACUACAACCCAUUUAGUCACGCAGACAGUCAUGCCUGUCGUUCCAACCCCAGAGCCCCACGUCUUUUUUGAUUGCUUGCUCAAACAGUACAUUAAAUCAUCUCUAACAUGCAAGAACUAUGUUAUGUUGAUACAGAAGUGUCUCCAAAAGACAAAUACUGUAGGAUUUCGUUCAUAUGUGGAACCUAAAAAACAAAACAAAUGAGCAAACACAA